CGUUCGGGAGCGGGCGGGAGCCGCGGCCCUUCAGGCUGACUGAAAAUAUCUGUGAAACAGAGGAGAGACGGGAUCCCUGAUGAAGCGCUGGACUCUCAGCUCUGGGGGAAGAGCUUGAACUGAGUAACAGCAUUGCAGGUUCAGGUAAACCCGCACGUGUGCAGUGACCGGGGACCACAUCCUCACCUGCAUGCGGUAGCGGACAGAAAUGGUGGAUCCGGUGCUGGCCUCCCGGUACACCUGCAGGCUGAUCCGCGUGAGCUUCUGCGUCGCCACGGGCAACCGGGACCCCACCGCGAAGAACACCAAGCCCCGCGGGUCAUCGCUCUCCAGCAUAGUCACGUUGGCGAAGCGGGCGCUGUCGUUGAUGGACGCCCCCUCUCCCACCUGUUUGAAUCCUGCAGUUCUGCCUGUGGAGUGAACUCUCUCACCUUCCAGCUCGCAAGGAGCAAGCAGACUACUCUGAUGCCUUUUCCUGUGCUGAACAGCCAGGACUAGUAAUAAUAAGAAUAAUAAAAAUAAUACAAUUUUGAUAAGUUAUUUAAGCAGAGCUUUUCAUUUAGCCUAUCUCAGAGUGCUGUACAAAUGAAUAAAAUAGGCAGUGACAAAGAGACAUGACAUAAUUGUGCUCACUAUGACCUACAUCUAAGGCAGAGACUAUUUUUGUACAGAAAUGGCCCCAUAGCACAAAGCAUUCAUAGAACAUCCAUGCAUCAACAAGGGUUUAGUUUACCAGUCAAAAUUAUGAAAAAAUACAAGUGGCAAAGCGGUAGGGAUCCAAGGCACUUUUGAUGGUAAAGUUAAAAGUCUUUAUUGAAACUUGCGGCCACGCACAGCCUUUGAAGUGCUUCAGCAAUAGACAUCAGCAUCAGAAUGUUCAGCUCAAGAACAUUCUAAUCACUUAUUUGUGAUCACACACCUUAAAGGACUAAAGAAGGUUUACAAAGAAGAACUAAAGUUUCUCCCUCACUUGAACCUUGCACAGCCUUUCUUUUAAUUUUUCUCAAUAUUGGCUUUCAACUUUACCAAGAAGGCCUUGAAUCCCUACCUGUUUGCCACUUGUAUUUUUUCAUAAUUUUGACUGGCAAACGAAACCCUUUUUGAUGCAUGGAUAUUUCCUCCUUUUUCCAAAGAGCCAUUUGGCCAUUAUCUUUGUCCGUGUAGCGCUCCUUCUCUAACCUUUUCGUAGUUUACACCCAGCACAGACCCAAAGUGACCCGGUAAGCCGUUCCUUACCAUAAUUCUGGGUCACAAAAGCAGUUGUUUGCAUCAGUGAGCAAAGCACCUCAUUUCCAUGUGUCCAGGAAGUUUGCUCAGCACGGCGAUGCCCUGAGGCCUGCUCGAGCAGAGGCGAGCUGCGCAGACA